rnacentral:rRNA from 1 species
UGGUGGAGCGAUUUGUCUGGUCAAUUCCGAUAACGAACGAGACUCUAGCCUACUAAAUAGUUCGGGGACCCCCACAAAGGGGCCCCGCUUCAACUUCUUAGAGGGAGAGGUGGCGUUUAGCCACACGAGAUUGAGCAAUAACA